rnacentral:rRNA from 1 species
GAGUUUGAUCCUGGCUCAGGAUGACCGCUGGCGGCGUGCCUAACACAUGCAAGUCGAACGGGGUAUAUAAGCGGAAGUUUACGGAUGGAAGGUUAUAUACUUAGUGGCGGACGGGUGAGUAACGCGUGGGCAACCUGCCCCGUGCCGGGGGAUACCGCCUGGAAACAGGCGCUAAUACCGCAUAAGCGCAUACAGCCCCAUGGGUGUAUGCGGAAAGCUCCGGCGGCACCGGAUGGGCCCGCGCCCGAUUAACCAGUUGGCGGGGUAACGGCCCACCCAAGCGACCAUCGGUAGCCCGCCUGAGAGGGCGGACGGCCACAUUGGGACUGAGACACCGCCCCAACUCCUACCGGAGGCAGCAGUGGGGAAUAUUGCACAAUGGGGGAAACCCUGAUGCAGCAACCCCCCGUGGGUGAAGGAGCGUUUCCGCGCCUAAAGCCCUGUCACCGGGGAAGAAGAAAGACGGUACCCCACCAACAAGCCCCGGCUAACUACGUGCCACCAGCCGCGGUAAUACGUAGGGGGCGAGCGUUAUCCGGAAUUACUGGGUGUAAAGGGAGCGUAGACGGCGAGGUAAGCCUGAAGUGGAAGCCCGCGGCCCAACCGCGGAACUGCUUUGGGAACUGUUUUGCUGGAGUAUGGGAGGGGUAAGCGGAAUUCCUGGUGUAGCGGUGAAAUGCGUAUAUAUCAAGAGGAACACCGGUGGCGAAAGCGGCUUACUGGACCAUAACUGACGUUGAAGCUCGA